rnacentral:lncRNA from 1 species
UUAUUUUUCCUGCAUUUACUGCUUUUGCAUGGAUCCUUAUUUAUGUUGUCAUGCAUCACUUUGAAAGCACACACUUUACAUCCUAGGAUAAGUGGGGGAGUAACGGUACCCCAAUGACUUUAGUCUGGGUAAGACUCGUGAAACCAUCCAACUCUCGCUUGAUUGUUUACUUGGAAGUGGUUGAUAUGCCAAACUGAUAUUACUCAGGGCCUCUAUUUUCACACUACUUGUAAGCCUCAUAUCGACCUUUCAUGG